ensembl:lncRNA
GGGGACUUCUGCUGCGGCGCCUGGAGCACCUCUCCUCCUCCUUCUGCACUGACCUUGGCGCCUGCAAGGCUGUUCCUCACUCCUCUCACUCUCCCAGCUGCUGUAUGGCGCAGCGUUUAUUUUCCCUGUCUUAAAUAUGCUCUCACAGAGGCGCAAAACAACAUCAGUUAUUGGCUAGGCUCUGGUCAGCAGUGGAGCCCUUACCAAACAUGGGGCAGCUUCUAGAUCCUUCUCACAGAAGCCAGCCUUAUGGCCCCCUGCUACCAAAACCUUGCCACGUAAACCCACUACAACUUCUCAAUGAAGAAGAUAGAGGUUUUUAAGAAAUUUAAAUCCUUUUAAGUGCUUGUGGGAUAUUUAGGGUAAUGUCACACCUUUGCCAAGCCAGCAUGAAAAACAGCAUUAACUAAGUAGUGAAGCAGUCUGUGUGGACACAUUUUCAAGCUGUUUAAUAUGUCCGACAUGCUUAGUAAAUAUUCACAAAAAUUCCUCCAAUAUUUCCCCCCCUAAUAAGGGGAAAAAAGUAAAAGGAGUUUCUGGAACUACACCAAUUCUUCCAAAUAAAAUACUCACAUAUAUGUCUUUUCUUGGUAAUGUGUUUGCAAACUCUGAACAAAAAUGAAAAUAAAGAAGUAUAAAUUACUUCUGCUGUCUGAUCUAAGCCUGUAGAAAAGCUGCAGGUGAAGCUACAAGCUAAAAUUCACAAGAGGGUCAGAACUGAUUUUAUAGGUAAUUAGCAAGGGAAGUUGUGUUGUCACCACACUUCACACUGCCUAGGAAAAGAGAAGUGUCCUUUACUCAUUCACUGCUUGGUCUUGCUCAGACGUGUUCUCUGAGGCUAGAAUAUCAGGAUCUAUUUGCCAACAUCUCCUGCCUGUUUUCUGUGUACAGGCAGAAGAGGACUGUCAAGAAGAUCUCUGCUCUUCUCCUUUGGAGUGCUGGCAGCAAAGGAAGACAAUUGGGCUGCAGAACUACAGAGCUGAAUAUGCUUGUUGCCUCCUUCACUACCAGGAACAAAAUAGGUAAAGAUGGACCACAUCAGAAGACAAAUACCAGUACUGAAGAUUGGAGUGACAAGUAUAACAGAAGAGAUAUGAGGUGGAAGGCCUAAACAUAAAACACAGGACAGACACUGACUUUAGCAUUGAUGGUUUUGACCAUCCUCAUCUGACUCAGGAUUUGCUCAAUGAGUUCUAUUAGCUUGGUGCUUUAUGUAUUCUCUUCACAGGUGAAGAAAAUUUUGUCUGAAUGUUUCAAAAACCCUUGCAUACCGGGGAGUAAAUUGAGAAAGCUUAAGUUAAACAAGUGCAGAGAUUUAAUGCAUUGAUGAACUAUGUUAUCAGCUGAUAUCCCGAUUGCUUGAAAUAUUCAUCUAUCUGAACAGCAUGUAAAAGUUGUUUUCAUUCCCACAAUUGUUCAGCUUUUUACCAAUCAUGCAGUUUUAGCCACAGUAAUAAUUCAUUUGGAAAAACGUGGAGACAAACAUUAUUCAAAUCACUUGAUCCAUUUACUAACUUGUUGAAAAGUGAACAAGAGCAAUUUUUUGAACUUUUUUUUUUUUUUUUUAAAUCAUGAAUUGAGGAAUUGAAGUAAGGAACUUUUAUAAAAACCCAACUACAUAAGGACAUUGAACAGGUCUACAGCAGAAAAAAAAAAUGUGAUCUGUUUGAAUAACUAAUUUUCUUGUAAGUUGGCUGAACUUGAAAACUGAAACAAAAAAUCCAGUCAGAUAAGUGAAGAUGAUAUACAUAUAUAAAUAUUUAUAUAUAUUUACAUAUAUAUAAAUAAAAAAUACGGACAAAAACAAAAAAUGAAAUAUGUGUUUUAGUGAUUCUAAAACUAAACAGUUCAAUUUCAAUUCAGGUAGUUUUGGCAAAUGAAAUCAAUGGAAAUGAAGAGAUAGACAUAAAAAAAUAAACAAAACAAACAAAACAAAACAAAACAAAACAACAACGACAACAAAAAACAACAGAAAAGCAGACAGGAAACAAACAGCCCAUCACUUUUAAUCAUGUAUGCUCACGUAGAGAAUGCAUAGUGAAAGUUUAAUUUUCUCCUAUGCUUCAGAGGA